CGGUCUCCACUCGUCCUUCUCGGCUUCUCCCGGUUAUAUAACUCUUCCUCUCGCCGUGUCCUGGUUUCAACUCCACAGACUCCGCCCUGGAGCAGCGCGGGGAGGGGCAGGAGAGUUGGGGACCCAGACAGGUUCCGGCUGGCGGCCGGCCGGGCCACGGGGGAUCCCGCGGAUGGGAGACGGAGCCCCGCGGGACCCGGUGCCCCCGUCCCCCACCCUCCGCCCCCCCCCGAGAUCUCUCCCGGGAGAGCGAAGGCACAGUAUCUGCGAGAGGCGUGUCGGGACUCCGUCAGAAAUGUUCCCCCAGGCACCAUGCCAGCCCCGUAGUACCACCCACCCCACCCACUGUGGUCUGCUGCACCCCACCGCUGGGGCACUGGUUCCAAUGAGACAGGGCACAUCAGAUUCCAUCUGGUAAGUCCUGCCCCCUGAGCAACACCUGCCCCCACCUGCGACAGUCCAACUCUGCACCACAUGCUUGAAGAGUGGUACGAUCUGGGUCAUGCCCACUCCUCAGAAUGGUCCAGUCCAACUCCGAGCAUCCAUACCCCCACCAUGUGGUGCUUGAGUGGUUCAGCCUUCCUAGUUUAUGGAGCUCCCCCCUGUUGCCUAUGAAUGGUUCGGCCCUGUACUUCAGCAGCCUCUCCACUACCACCAAAAAAUCUUCUCCCCCCACCCCCCAGUGCUACAACUCAGUUGCUUAUUGAAUUGACUUGAGCUAGAGUUUGUAAGCUGCAAGGUAGAGGUGAGCUACCCUGGAGGGAUUUUUCUUGGGGUGGGGUGCCCUAGGAGAGUUGUUGAACAGUCUGGUUUAUGGAUGGUGAUUGGAAAUUGAUUCGGAGACGUAGUGGAGGCCCGUGCCACAACUGGCCUGCCGUUGCCAUGGUAAUCGUGGCAGCUCACCUUCCCUUCCAGAUCCCUUUCUUUUCCGUUCUGUUCCCACUGCGCUAUAUAGCAUUUGCCUGCCCCCCGACACCCUAAGUCUUACUCCUCUCCUCCUUGCCUCUCUCUUUCUGCCAGUUCUCUGCCUGAUGCUCCGUAGGACAGAGCCUCCAUCCCUCAUUCUCUAGGAGAAAAGAUGCUACCUAAGCCAGGGCCUUGAGUUCUCUGGGUGUCGCUCUUCUCCACUACUCACUGAAUUUUAGAGUGGGACUGUUUUCGUCUCUGUGUCUCUAUUUGGCAAGAUGGUUUGCACAUUGGGGUGCCUCAGUGGAAUUGUGCUGAAUGAAUGUGUUAACUGAAUGAGCUUUCUUGCCAAGAAAGCAAUGGCUUCUGGAGAUCUGCUACACAGUGUCCUACCCACACCUGCUCUAGAGGACGUGAGACAUUUGGGAUGGUAGAGAUGCCUGGCGUGCAACCCUGGGGGCAGGCUGACCCAGGAGAUGGCCUGUGAGGGUAAAACCAAGGGAGGGAGAAUAGGACAGAGGCCUUCUAGAAGAGUGGAAAUAAUUGAGGCCCUGGGAAGAAGCCCAGCUCUUCCACUCUCUUGCAGAGUGGACUUGACCAAGUUACCUAACCUCUCAGAGCCUCAAUUUCCUCAUCUGUAAAAUGGGGUAAAAAAAAAAAAAAGUACCUCCUACCUCAGGUUUGGGGGGGUGGUGGUGGGGGGAGUUUUAAAAAAAUAUAUGUGAAGUGCUUAACACAGUGCCAGGCAUGUAAUAAGUAUUCACUAAAUGCUAGCAAUUAUCAUCAUAAUGGGAGCCGCGGGGAGCUGUGAGGAUAAGCAAGGACCUUGAGGAAUUGGACAGAACUUGAUUGAAGGCAGACAGACGCCCAAAUAUUUGACUCAAACAGAAGGAUCACUGAUCCAGCAAGCCGUCAGGAUUCCGGGGAGCGAGGCGAGGAGUCAGCAGGUCAGCCUGCUCCAGUGUUUCCCAGGCUCUGUUCAGGAACAUGAAGGCAAACACAGAAGGGCAUGUGCAGAGACACACGUGAUCACGCAAGUGAUGCAGAGGCAGACCCAGACAAAAGACCGAGACAGGAGCCAGGCAGACACACAGACAGAGACAGCCCCUCAGAGUCCUGUAGACAGGCAUAAUGACAGGAACGCGUCCGACGCAGGCACUGA
ensembl:lncRNA